UGAACCUGAGAGUUUGAUCCUGGCUCAGAACGAACGCUGGCGGCAUGCCUAACACAUGCAAGUCGAACGAAGGCUUCGGCCUUAGUGGCGCACGGGUGAGUAACACGUGGGAACCUGCCUUU
rnacentral:rRNA from 1 species